CUUUUAUUAGCAUCUUCGUCCCUAAUCUUAAGCCUCUUUCUGCGAUGUGGGAUAAAACAGCGGCUUUUAUACGUCGUCGUUUUUUAAUCAACGCUCCGUGCAUAGCAACGGCGAAGCGUUUUGGCUUAAAACCCGUACCUUAAAGUCACCUUCCUAUCUUCUCCGCCUAAACCUAAAAACGGAAAAGAGCAAACACUUCCACUUACAACACACUUGCUCGUCUAUCGCUCUACUUCGGUGCUCCAUUUCUUCAAACUCUCAUCACCGCUUAACUACUCCUCUCGGGAUUGAAGCACUCCUAUUCAUAUCUCUCUAAUUCUCGUCUAUCCUCUUCAUCUUCUCCAUUUUCUUCGUCCAGAAUCCGUUACCUUUGUCUCAGUCAGUCAUACGGAAGAAGAAAUCGGCGCUUUUCCACAUUAGCUGCUGCUGUUGUUUCCGUUAAGGGGGAGCCGACACGUUCUUCGCUUAUAAGAUGUUUCGUGGGCUUCUCUCGGUUUGUCUGAUCGGCUCUGUCGAGCUAUAUAUCUAAUCUUGGACUCGAAAGACCGCCUCUAGUUCGGGGGAGUCUCAUAAAAUUCACAUAUAUCAAUAUGUAUGUUCAUUUUUCAACGAAUAGCUAGCUAUUUCAAAGCAAAUUUAAACACGGGAGAUAAAUUUAUGGUCUCCAGAAAUGAAGGUAAGAAAAGAAAAUUCGUUUUUUAGUUUCAUGUCAAAAGGAACAACAAAAGAAAAAAUAAACAGCAGCAAAAGGUUUACAUGCUCCAUUGGAAGGUUUUUUGGAAUUCACAUACUCGUCUUCUAACUCUCGCUAUCCCAAUUGUUGUUUGCGGAAAAUAUCAUGAAACCUGUCCUUGUGUUGAUAAAUGAGGUGCAAGUCUUUGAGUUUGUAAUUGUAUGAACACCAAAGCUAUGGCAAAUUGAAACCACUUCUUUGAACGCUAGCUUCCGUUUAAUCUACAAAUAAAACGAACUUCUUGUUAAUAGUUGUCCUAUCUAGUCAUACCCAAAUGGUAUCUAGUCAUGCCCAAACAUUCCUUAAUUUGAGUAUCACAUCUCUCUAAACUUGUCCAGGAAACCUGUAAUUUAUUUUAUUUCUAUAUUUGAAAUUGCUAAUGGCAUUUUGCUCCUGUUUGAAUCAAAUUUCUAUAAUGUUAUAUUGAUCUUGCAUUUUGGGCUGCCUCUAUACCAUCAAUACUCCAGGAAAGAACGUGGUAGUAGCAGCGGAGACUGGUAGUGGUAAAACUCACACCUACUUGAUUUCCUUAAUUGAUAAGUUAAGGAUUGAUUCUGAUCAAGGGAUUCUGAUUCUGAUCAAGGAUUGAUUCCUUCCAACAGACUUUCUCUAGUUCUUUGUCCAAAUGUAUUGUUAUGUGAACAAGUUGUUCGAAUUGCUAGUGGUCUUUGUGAUGAUAAUGGUCAACCACUUCUCAGAGUCACAGCUGUCUGUGGCCAACAGGUGUUCGAUGAAGCAGACAUGCUUCUCUGUGGGAGUUUCCAUAAUCAGGUUAUCUGUCUAAUAAAUAUGUUCCAUUUUGAUGAGAAGCAGUUGUCUCAAGUAAAUAAAUCUGCACCUGAGAAUACUGCAGAGUUAGGUUCUGAUUCUCCCGGAGAGUUUGGCUUGGAAGAUGAUGAGGAACUACAGAGUGAAACUAUCUCAGAAUAGGAUGAAGAUUUUGAAGGUGAUAUUGAAGCUGAGGACUUAAAAGAGGAUAAUGAGGCUGGGUCCAUCAACAGAAAAUACUGGAGGAGAGUAAGAAAAGAUUAUGUGUGCAGUAAACAGUACAUCUUUGUCGCAGCCACCCUUCCCAUUAAUGGGAAAAAAAUUGCUGGAGCUGUGUUGGAACGGACGUUUCCUGGUGCCAUUUGGAUUAGUGGAAACUAUCUUCACUGUCACAACCCCAGCUGCCACAUUCUAUGAUUGGAACAGAAGUGGGUUGAAGUUACAGUUGAUACCCUGGUGGAUACACUCAUAGGUGCUGUGAACCAAGUAUCUAGAUCUGGAGUUGGUGUUAGUCGAAUUAUGAUUUUUGCAAACACUGUUGAUGCUGUUGAAGCAGUUGCUAAAAUAUUGGAGAGAGCAGGGAUUGAAUGUUACAGUUAUCAUAAAGACAAUUCUUUGGAGGAAUAUGCAAAGACAUUAGUUGAUUUCUGAUUCAACACUAAGAAUUUAACAGAAAAAAUUGAGAAAAGAGAGCAAGAUUUAGAGAGAAGAGGAGAAAAUCAUAGGAGAAGAGACUCAAGAAGAUAAUUCUCAUUUCAUAAGCUCCUCCGUGCAAACGAAUGUCUUUAUAUUUAGCUCGUAGCUCAUUGACAGCUGCUCAGCCUAUAAGAUUCAAUUUCCUAACUACUAUGACAAAUUACAUAACAGAAUCAUUCAUUCAUUGCCGCAUAUUCCUUCUUUUCAGCUUUAUUUAUCUUCAUAACAGAAUUCAUCUUCUUUUCUGCUACGCUUUGUUUUACUUAAAGCCAAUACUCAACGUUUUAAUAAUUAUUGGCUUUCUCUUUAUUUUUUCUAUUGUAAAAAACGCCACCGUUACCGUUUUACUUUUGGCCUGUAUCUAUUUCCAAGAAAAAGGUAGCAUUUUUUUUACACUGAAAAAAUAGCACGGGAAAAAGCCAAGUUUUUGCUGGAGUUUGGAGUCUGCAGAGGGAGACUAAAAGAUAAUUUAGGAUUUGAGAACAAAGAACAGUGCAAUUGGGAGGGAGGAAUUUUAUUAUCAUAGCGAGGGAUACCAAUUUUUGGUGGGUAAGCCGUGUGGGAACAAUAAUGACUGCCGAAAUUUGCGAGUCAUGUCGCUAACCCACCAAUGCCUUUCUUCAAUAUGCGAUUUGCAUCGACUAUAGUGGAAUCAGAUUCACAAUAGUGAUGUCCACUCUUUUGAAUACUUGUGAUAAUAGCAAUUGGGAAAUAGAUGCAGCUGUUAGAUCAUUAAGAAUCUUUAUCCUCUUGUCCAUUCUAUUCAGUUCUCUCAUGUGAGAGGGAAGGCAAAUACAGUUGCCCAUUGGGUUGCAACUCUGUGUUUCAAGAAUCAAAUGCCUUGUACUUGGUUAAUAGAUUUACCGGCUCAGUUGGGAGCCUUACGUAUUUUGAUGCCCAGAGGGCCAUGUAAUGGAUUGGUUUCAAUUUGCACGUCAAAACAUUUGGGAUAAUGAUGGUUGUG